CACGUAGGGGCCAAGCGUUGUCCGGAUUCAUUGGGCGUAAAGAGCUCGUAGGCGGUUCAGUUAGUCGGGUGUGAAAUCUCCGGGCUCAACCCGGAGGGGCCACCCGAUACUGCUGUGACUCGAGUCCGGUAGGGGAGUGGGGAAUUCCUGGUGUAGCGGUGAAAUGCGCAGAUAUCAGGAGGAACACCAGUGGCGAAGGCGGUGCUCUGGGCCGGAACUGACGCUGAGGAGCGAAAGCGUGGGGAGCAAACAGG
rnacentral:rRNA from 1 species